UACAGAGGUCCCAAGCGUUGUUCGGAUUCAUUGGGCGUAAAGGGUGCGUAGGCGGCGCGGUAAGUCGGGUGUGAAAUCUCGGGGCUUAACUCCGAAACUGCAUUCGAUACUGCCGUGCUUGAGGACUGGAGAGGAGACUGGAAUUUACGGUGUAGCGGUGAAAUGCGUAGAUAUCGUAAGGAAGACCAGUGGCGAAGGCGAGUCUCUGGACAGUUACUGACGCUGAGGCACGAAGGCCAGGGGAGCAAACGGG
rnacentral:rRNA from 1 species